rnacentral:rRNA from 1 species
AACCUUUCUACGGGUAAGAAGCUAAAGUACCCGAAGAAAAUGGAUUGGCUUACUUCGUGUCAGCAGCCGCGGUCAUACGGAGGAUCCGAAGCGUUAUCCGGAUUUAUUGGGCUUAAAGGGUGCGUAGUCGGCUUUAUAAGUCAGGGGUGAAAUCCGGCAGCUCAACUGUCGCAGUGCCUUUGAUACUGUAGGGCUUGAAUCUAUAUGAAGUGGGCGGAAUAAGACAAGUAGCGGUGAAAUGCAUAGAUAUGUCGUAGAACUCCGAUUGCGAAGGCAGCUCACUAAGUUAGUAUUGACGCUGAUGCACGAAAGCGUGGGGAUCGAACAGGAUUAGAUACCCUGGUAGUCCACGCCCUAAACGAUGAUAAGUUGAUGUUGGCGAUACACAGUCAGCGUCCCAGAGAAAGCGUUAAGUUAUCCACCUGGGGAGUACGCCCGCAAGGGUGAAACUCAAAGGAAUUGACGGGGGCCCGCACAAGCGGAGGAGCAUGUGGUUUAAUUCGAUGAUACGCGAGGAACCUUACCCGGGCUUGAAAGUUAGUGACGGAUGCAGAGACGCAUCCUUCCUUCGGGACACGAAAGUAGGUGGUGCAUGGUUGUCGUCAGCUCGUGCCGUGAGGUGUUGGGUUAAGUCCCGCAACGAGCGCAACCCCUAUGUUUAGUUGCCAGCACGUAAUGGUGGGGACUCUAGACAGACUGCAUGCGUAAGCAGUGAGGAAGGUGGGGACGACGUCAAGUCAUCAUGGCCCUUACGUCCGGGGGUACACCCGUGGUACAAUCGAUGGUACAGCGGGCAGCUACACAGCAAUGUGAUGCCAAUCUCGAAAAGCCAUUCACAGUUCGGAUCGGGGUCUGCAACUCGACCCCGGGAAGUUGGAUUCGCUAGUAAUCGCGUAUCAGCAAUGACGCGGUGAAUACGUUUCCCGGGCCUUGUACACACACGCCCGUCAAACCAUGAAAAUUGGGGGUGCGCUAAAGCAUGCAACCGGCAAGGCCAGCGGGUUUGGGAAAGCCGAGGGG